AGCAUGUACUUUACAUUUUCGAGAACAAGUUUUUAUCUAGUUUUAUUCCGCAGACAAUGUGUUCUAGACCUUUUGUAAUCUGGAUUUCUCUUUAUCUAUUCAGUAUUCAGUAUUCAGUAUUCAGUAUUUGUUCUUAAUUUCGUUUUACUGUUGUUCAUCCUGUUACCAUCUUGCUAUUACUCUGUUGUUAUCAUGUCUUCAUUCCAUUCAACGUUUAUGCUAUCUGCUAUGAUGUCUGAGUAGUGAAUAGGUUUCUGAGGAUAGGUUAGAGUAGUGUAGAAUUCUCAGUAUGCUAGGUGGUUGAGUUUAAUUGAUAGAUCCCUUCUGGAUUAGUUAUUCUUAAUGCCUAUUGCUUUCUGAUCAACUGGAAUUUGAGCCCAGACAUUUCUGCGCCCAAAAGGUGUUCGAUAAAAUAUCUGAACCACUAAUUCCAGAGAUUCGUGGCCUUGUACCAAGGUAUUGGUUGCAGGAAGCGUAUUGGCUUUAACUUGUUGAUUCGUAAUGCCUAUUAGGUUAGCUCUCGUCAAUGGUGAUUGAGUCUUGGACUAGGUUAAUUUGAGGGUCUCUGUUGCGGUGGCACUUAGAUUUGGUUAAUGAACUUGUUGUCUACGGAUAAUUUAUUGAGCAUGUCAAUCACUUGUAAACUGAGGAAACGAAACUACUCAAUGACCCCAUCCUCGGGAAUUCUCUAUCUAAUUGAAUUCUUUGUUUACUCUACUGUUGUUUACUGCAUCUUGUCAUCUGCUGCUUAAUUUCUGCAAUUCUUUCUUGUUACUCGACCUCAUACUCGACCACCCAGUUGUCUGGCAACAAACUGUGCAGUCGAGUAUCUAUGUUAUACUUUCUGUUUGUUACUUGACUUGUCACUCGACCUCACCCAGUGCUCUGCAAAGAGCUGUGUUGGUCGAGUGUUUUAUUGUUUCUGCUUGAAUUUCUGUUUUCUGCGUGUUCACUUAGAACUGCUAGAACACACCAAAAUCUGUUAUUGCUUGGCUUGACUUAGUGACUUCUGAUCACAUCUUGAUUGUUAGCAUCACACCCAUUUGGAUUGACAACCUAAAAUACUACAACGACAUGAUUGGUGUUUAGAAUAAUUGAUC
rnacentral:sRNA from 1 species